CCAAUGUGGAUAUCCCAGGAGGUCACUCUCCCCAGGCUCUGUCCUAGUGGUAUAGGGGAGCAUAGGGCUCUGCCCCAUGAUGUACAGUCCCUUUCCACAACUUUGGAGAUGAAGCUGGGCUUCAAGUCUGUGCCUGCAUAUUCCUAUGACUUCUCAGAGUCCUCUCGAUGAUGACUGGGGAGACAAACCAUGCAGGAAAUAGUC
ensembl:snoRNA SNORA73 Small nucleolar RNA SNORA73 family